UACAGGGGGUGCUAGCGUUGUUCGGAAUCACUGGGCGUAAAGGGCGCGUAGGCGGUUUUGCAAGUCAGAAGUGAAAUCCCGGAGCUUAACUCCGGAAUUGCUCCUGAUACUGCAAGGCUAGAGUGUAUUAGAGGAUGGCGGAAUUCCUAGUGUAGUGGUGAAAUACGUAGAUAUUAGGAAGAACACCUGUGGCGAAGGCGGCCAUCUGGGAUACAACUGACGCUGAGGCGCGAAAGCGUGGGGAUCAAACAGG
rnacentral:rRNA from 1 species